CCUCAGGCUUCCCCAGCUGCACACUGUUCAUUUGCUCAGUUUAAUGAGGAUAAAAAAAGAGAGAGAUCUUUACAGGAAUCUGCACUGCUGGGCGAGAAGAUUCUUGGAACUGUGGUGCUAUCCAGUGAACCAGCCCUCGUUUCCAGCCGUUCUGAGUGGGACCAAAGUAAUCGGACACAAACUGAGGGCACCGCAACACGACCCGUAGACACGCCCACUUUGGUUCCCGAGGAAAACGUUGCUGUUUUUGGUUCCCAACUUUUCAGGAUCCGAACUAAUUUAUUUUUGGUCGAAAUCCUCCGAACGUUUGAAAACGAGGUGAUUGACAGCCAGCUAAAUAUAUUUGUCUUCAACACAAAAAGGAUUUGUUUUAGUCAGUGUAAUUCUGAAAUGAAUGUUUUUGUUCUGUUCACUGUAUAUUGUAUAUUUACUGUAAAACAAUUAAAAGCAGGGUCCCGAUAAGAUGCAGGUCCUCUUCACUA